rnacentral:rRNA from 1 species
AGAGUUUGAUCCUGGCUCAGGAUAAACGCUGGCGGCAUGCCUAAUACAUGCAAGUCGAACGAACUAUUACUUGUAAUAGUGAGUGGCGAACGGGUGAGUAACACGUAGGUAACCUGCCCUAAUCACUGGGACAACUGUUUGAAAAGACAGCUAAUACCGGAUAAAUUGUUUCUUCGCAUGAAGGGAUAAGGAAAGUAACAAAAGUUACGGAAAAGGAUGGACCUGCGGUGCAUUAGCUAGUUGGUGAGGUAACGGCUCACCAAGGCGAUGAUGCAUAGCCGACCUGAGAGGGUGAACGGCCACAUUGGAACUGAGACACGGUCCAAACUCCUACGGGAGGCAGCAGUAGGGAAUUUUCGUCAAUGGGGGGAACCCUGAACGAGCAAUGCCGCGUGUGUGAAGAAGGUCUUCGGAUUGUAAAGCACUGUUGUAGGUGAAGAAGGGUGAUAAGAGUGGAAAGCUUAUCAUUUGACAUUAGCCUACCAGAAAGCCACGGCUAACUACGUGCCAGCAGCCGCGGUAAUACGUAGGUGGCGAGCGUUAUCCGGAAUGAUUGGGCGUAAAGGGUGCGCAGGCGGCAAAUUAAGUCUGGAGUAAAAGGCAACAGCUCAACUGUUGUAUGCUCUGGAAACUGGUUAGCUAGAGUGCAGAAGAGGACGAUGGAAUUCCAUGUGUAGCGGUAAAAUGCGUAGAUAUAUGGAGGAACACCAGUGGCGAAGGCGAUCGUCUGGUCUGUAACUGACGCUGAGGCACGAAAGCGUGGGGAGCAAAUAGGAUUAGAUACCCUAGUAGUCCACGCCGUAAA